rnacentral:rRNA from 1 species
UGCCAGCACCCCGAGUGGUCGGGACGAUUAUUGGGCCUAAAGCAUCCGUAGCCGGCCUUACAAGUCCUCCGUUAAAUCCAGCUGCUUAACAGAUGGGCUGCGGAGGAUACUAUAAGACUAGGAGGCAGGAGAGGCAAGCGGUACUCAGUGGGUAGGGGUAAAAUCCGUUGAUCCAUUGAAGACCACCAGUGGCGAAGGCGGCUUGCCAGAAUGCGCUCGACGGUGAGGGAUGAAAGCUGGGGG